rnacentral:rRNA from 1 species
UACAGAGGGGGCAAGCGUUGUUCGGAAUUACUGGGCGUAAAGGGCGCGUAGGCGGCCUGUUAAGUCGAACGUGAAAUCCCCGGGCUCAACCCGGGAACUGCGUCCGAUACUGGCAGGCUUGAAUUCGGGAGAGGGAUGCGGAAUUCCAGGUGUAGCGGUGAAAUGCGUAGAUAUCAGGAGGAACACCGGUGGCGAAGGCGGGUCUCUGGGCAACAACUGACGCUGAGGAGCGAAAGCGUGGGGAGCGAACAGG